CAGCCGCCGCGGGAAUACGUAGGGUGCGAGCGUUAAUCGGAAUUACUGGGCGUAAAGCGUGCGCAGGCGGUUAUAUAAGACAGAUGUGAAAUCCCCGGGCUCAACCUGGGACCUGCAUUUGUGACUGUAUAGCUAGAGUACGGUAGAGGGGGAUGGAAUUCCGCGUGUAGCAGUGAAAUGCGUAGAUAUGCGGAGGAACACCGAUGGCGAAGGCAGCCCCCUGGGCCAAUACUGACGCUCAGGUGGGAAAGCGUGGGGAGCAAACAGGAUUAGAUACCCCCGUAGUCCCUGUCUCUUAUAC
rnacentral:rRNA from 1 species